GUGGGGAAUAUUGGACAAUGGGCGAAAGCCUGAUCCAGCCAUGCCGCGUGUGUGAAGAAGGUCUUCGGAUUGUAAAGCACUUUAAGUUGGGAGGAAGGGUAGUAACCUAAUACGUUGCUACUUUGACGUUACCGACAGAAUAAGCACCGGCUAACUUCGUGCCAGCAUCCGCGGUAAUACGAAGGGUGCAAGCGUUAAUCGGAAUUACUGGGCGUAAAGCGCGCGUAGGUGGUUCAGUAAGUUGGAAGUGAAAUCCCCGGGCUCAACCUGGGAACUGCUUUCAAAACUGCUGAGCUAGAGUACGGUAGAGUGUGGUGGAAUUUCCUGUGUAGCGGUGAAAUGCGUAGAUAUAGGAAGGAACACCAGUGGCGAAGGCGACCACCUGGACUGAUACUGACACUGAGGUGCGAAAGCGUGGGGAGCAAACAGGAUUAGAUACCCGUGUAGUCC
rnacentral:rRNA from 1 species